rnacentral:ncRNA from 1 species
CAUGGGGAUUGCGAUCUCCCCACGAGGCGUCAGCCAGAGCAUCGCGUCCAGCACGAACACGCAAGGGACGCAUCAUG